ACGCUCGACACCUACGGGAGGCAGCAGUGGGGAAUAUUGCACAAUGGGGGAAACCCUGAUGCAGCGACGCCGCGUGAGUGAAGAAGUAUUUCGGUAUGUAAAGCUCUAUCAGCAGGGAAGAAAAUGACGGUACCUGAGUAAGAAGCCCCGGCUAACUACGUGCGAGCAGCCGCGGUAAUCUGAGCGGGCUGGCAAGGC
rnacentral:rRNA from 1 species